GAGUUCGCAGCCAAGACGAAGCUCUGGUUGUGCUUUUCGGAACAAGCGCUUGCGGCUCGACCACCGUGUCCGCUAGUGUGCGGCCUGCGCUCGGUGACGCUCCGAGACGGCUGAGUUCGCCAAUAGCAAGGCUGUGCCCAGGUACAGUCUGGAAACAUGCUUCAGCAGCGGGAUGCUCGCCAACGGAGUGAGCGGGA
rnacentral:snRNA from 14 species